UACGUAGGGUGCAAGCGUUAAUCGGAAUUACUGGGCGUAAAGCGUGCGCAGGCGGCUUUGCAAGACAGAUGUGAAAUCCCCGGGCUAACCUGGGAACUGCAUUUGUGACUGCAUGGCUGGAGUGCGGCAGAGGGGAUGGAAUUCCGGCGUGUAGCAGUGAAAUGCGUAGAUAUGCGGAGGAACACCGAUGGCGAAGGCAAUCCCCUGGGCCUGCACUGACGCUCAUGCACGAAAGCGUGGGGAGCAAACAGG
rnacentral:rRNA from 1 species